rnacentral:rRNA from 1 species
UACGGAGGGGGCUAGCGUUGUUCGGAAUUACUGGGCGUAAAGCGCACGUAGGCGGCUUUGUAGUUAGAGGUGAAAGCCCGGGGCUCAACUCCGGAAUUGCCUUUAAGACUGCAUCGCUAGAAUUGUGGAGAGGUAAGUGGAAUUCCGAGUGUAGAGGUGAAAUUCGUAGAUAUUCGGAAGAACACCAGUGGCGAAGGCGACUUACUGGACAUGUAUUGACGCUGAGGUGCGAAAGCGUGGGGAGCAAACAGG